rnacentral:rRNA from 1 species
UACGUAGGGGGCAAGCGUUAUCCGGAUUUACUGGGUGUAAAGGGAGCGUAGACGGCUUUGCAAGCCAGAUGUGAAAGCCCGGGGCUCAAUCCCGGGACUGCAUUUGGAACUGUGUGGCUAGAGUGUCGGAGAGGCAGGCGGAAUUCCUAGUGUAGCGGUGAAAUGCGUAGAUAUUAGGAGGAACACCAGUGGCGAAGGCGGCCUGCUGGACGAUGACUGACGUUGAGGCUCGAAAGCGUGGGGAGCAAACAGG